UUACGACCACAUCACUUUUAAACACCGCUUCCCGAACGAUCACGAAGUUAAGCAAAGUCGAGCCUGAUUAGUACUUAGAUGGGUGACCACUUGGGAAUACCAGGUGCUGUAAGC